rnacentral:rRNA from 1 species
GACGAACGCUGGCGGCGUGCUUAACACAUGCAAGUCGAGCGGUAAGGCCCUUUCGGGGGUACACGAGCGGCGAACGGGUGAGUAACACGUGGGUGACCUGCCCUCAGCUCUGGGAUAAGCCUGGGAAACCGGGUCUAAUACUGGAUAUGACUCCAUGACGCAUGUUGUGGGGUGGAAAGCCUUGUGCGGCUGAGGAUGGGCCCGCGGCCUAUCAGCUUGUUGGUGGGGNGAUGGCCUACCAAGGCGACGACGGGUAGCCGGCCUGAGAGGGCGACCGGCCACACUGGGACUGAGACACGGCCCAGACUCCUACGGGAGGCAGCAGUGGGGAAUCUUGCGCAAUGGGCGAAAGCCUGACGCAGCGACGCCGCGUGAGGGAUGACGGCCUCGG